rnacentral:tRNA from 1 species
GGGGCUGGGGCUCAGUGGAAGAGCACUUAUCUUACAUGUGUGAGGCCCUGAGUUCGAUCCUCAGCACCA